GUUGUAUAUAAAAGGAGAGAAGGUUAGCACUCCCCUUGACAAAGAUGAAAGAGGCCACUGGGCCAAACAAUAUGGAUAUGAUUAAGGCAUCUAACCAUUGUUUUGGAAUCACCCAAUAAU
ensembl:snRNA